rnacentral:tRNA from 1 species
AGACACUUAGGUUAACACAAACCAGAGGCCUUCAAAGCCUCAAAUAGGGCCAUCCCCCCUAGUCUCUG